CCAGCUCUCAGACACACCAGAACCACGUGCCGGAGACGCCGGAAGCACCUGCCGAGCAUGCCGGAGCCACCUGCUCGACUCGCCAGAAACACCUGCCGGACACGCCAAAAUCACCUGCCGGGUACGCCAGAACCACCUGGCGGACACUCCGAAACCACCUGUCGCGCAUGCCGGAACCACCUCUCAGACGUGCCGGAAGCACGUGCCGGACACGCCGGAAUCACCUACCGGACAGACCGGAACCACCUGCCGAGCACACCGGAGCCACCUGUUCGACUCGCUGGAACCACCUGCCGGACAGGCCAAUAUCAACUGCUGGCUAUGCCAGAACCACCAGGGGGACGGUCCGGAAUCACCUGCCAGCCAUGGCGGAACCACCUCUCAGACGUACCAGAACCACCUGCCAGAGAAGCUGGAAACACGUCCUGGACAGUCUGGAACCACCUGCCGGCCAAGCCUGAACCACCUGCCAAGCACAACGGAACAACCUGCCAGACACGCCAAAAUCACCUGCGUGUUAUGCCAGAACCACUUGGAGGACUCUCUGGGAUGACCUGCCGGGCAUGCCGGAACCACCUCUCAGACGUGCCAGAACCAUGUGGCGGACAGUCCGGCAUCACCUGUUGGGCAUGCGCAACCACCUCUGAGACGUACCAGAACCACAUGCCGUGCAGGCUGGAACCACCUACCGGACAGACCGGAAUCACCUUUCGGGCAUGCCGGAACCACCUGUCAGAUGUGCCAGAAACACGUGCCGGAGACGCCGGAAGCACCUGCCAAGCACGUUGGAACCACCUGCUCAACUCGCCUGAACCACCUGCCGGACAUGCCAAAAUCACCUGCCGACUAUGCCAGAACCACUUGGCGAACACUCCGGAAUCACUUGCCGGGCAUGCAGGAACCACCUCUCAGACAUGCCAGAACCCCGUGCCAAUGACCCCGGAAGCACCAGCCGAGCACGCUGGAACCACCUGCUCGACUCGCAAGAACCACCUGCCGGUCAUGCCAAAAUCACCUGCCAACUACGCCAGAACCGCUUGGCGGACACUGCGGAAACACCUGUCGGGCCGGCUGGAACCACAUCUCAGACGUGCCAGAAACAUGUUCAUGAGAUGCUGGAACCACACCCCCGAACAGACGGAUACCACCUGCCAGAACCGCCUGAACCACCUGCUGAGCACGCCGGAACCACCUGCUCGACUCACCGGUACCACCUACCUGACACACCAAAAUCACCUGCUGUGUAUGCCAGAACCACUUGGCAGCCACUCCGGAAUCAUAUGCCGGACAUGCCGGAAACAGCUCUCAGACACACCAGAACCAAGUGCCGGAGACGCCGGAAGCACCUGCCGAGCAUGCCGGAGCCACCUGCUCGACUCGCCAGAAACACCUGCCGGACACGCCAAAAUCACCUGCCGGGUACGCAAGAACCACCUGGCGGACACUACGGAAUCACCUGCCGCGCAUGCCGGAACCACCUCUCAGACGUGCCGGAAGCACGUGCCGGACACGGCGGAAACACCUACCGGACAGACCGGAACCACCUGCCAAGAACGCCGGAGCCACCUGUUCGACUCGCUUAACCACCUGCCGGACAGGCCAAUAUCAACUGCUGUCUAUGCCAGAACCACCUGGGUGACAGUCCGGGAUCACCUGCCAGCCAUGGCGGAACCACCUCUCAGACGUACCAGAACCACCUGCCGGAGAAGCUGGAAACACGUCCUGGACAGACUGGAACCACGUGACGGCCAUGCCUGAACCACCUGCCGAGCACGGCGGAACCAAACUGCCGGACACGCCAAAAUCACCUGCGGCUACGCCAGGAACCACUUGGACGACUCUCCGAAAUGACCUGCCGGGCAUGUUGGAACCACCUCGGAGACGUACCAGAACCACGUGCCGUGCACGCCGGAACCACCUACCGGACAGACCGGAAUCAACUUUUGGGCAUGCCGGAACCACCAGUCAGAUGUGCCAGAAACACGUGCCGGAGACGCCGGAAGCACCUGCCGAGCACGUCGCAAGCACCUGCUCAACUCGCCUGAACCACCUGCCGGACACGCCGAAAUCAC
rnacentral:lncRNA from 1 species